rnacentral:rRNA from 1 species
GACGAACGCUGGCGGCGUGCUUAACACAUGCAAGUCGAACGGACAGACAGAGAGCUUGCUCUCUUGAAGUUAGUGGCGAACGGGUGAGUAACGCGUAAUCAACCUGCCCUUCAGAGGGGGAUAACAACGGGAAACCGUUGCUAAUACCGCGUACGAUUCAUGAACGGCAUCGGUUAUGAAUGAAAGGUGGCCUCUAUGUAUAAGCUAUCGCUGAAGGAGGGGAUUGCGUCGGAUUAGCUAGUUGGAGGGGUAACGGCCCGCCAAGGCAAUGAUCAGUAGCCGGUCUGAGAGGAUCAGCCACACUGGGACUGAGACACGGCCCAGACUCCUACGGGAGGCAGCAGUGGGGAAUCUUGGACAAUGGGGGCGACCCUGAUCCAGCCAUGCCGCGUGUGUGAAGAAGGCCUUCGGGUUGUAAAGCACUUUCAGCAGGGAGGAAGGCUUUGGCCGAAUAGGUUGAAGUACUUGACGUUACCUGCAGAAGAAGCACCGGCUAAUUUCGUGCCAGCCGCCGCAGUAA